ensembl:lncRNA
AAACUGAUGUUUCUUCCAACCCCAUGAAAGGUACAGUAUGAUAAAAACUGUUCAGACCCAAAGCCGUGUCUGCCUUUGUGAGCUAUAAUUAUUUUAGGAUCUGGCAGGAUCACAUUGAAACGUUUUAAAUGGAACUAGUUUUGCAGAGAGGUUUUGCUGCCUCAGCUCUUUGGAGGAAGGUGGCUACAAUUCAAAUUCUUCUAAAGAUAAAUUUUUAAGAAAAUAAGACAAAAGCUUAGUGAUGGUUGAGCCCUUUGUAUCAGAAAAUCUCUAAGCAGCUAAGUUACAUUGAGAGGGUUGGAUAAGGGACUCUGUUACUAGAAACGCUUUUUAAGGGAGAAGAAGUCUUCCAAUCUGGCUUCAAUAUCAUGCUCAUGUGGAUAUUAAUAUCCUUGGAAUUAAUAGCUUUCCCCCCUGGAAAAUGUGAAACGGCAACAUCUUAAAAUGGCCGAUAUGUGUUAGGUAGCUGUUUCUAAUUUUGCUUUAAAGAAGUGUCUGUAGUGCCUAGCUCCUGUUACAGACUAAUGACCUUCCAAAUAUCACUUUUAACAAGUUUAGACUUUAAGUUACAAGAGCACAAAGCAGCGCAAGAGUCAAGUUGAAGGAUGAGAAGUUUGCACCUGCUGCUCUGCUCUGCACCCUUAAUUAUAUGAGGACAGAUGUGCUUGCUCAGUCUCUGUACAUUACUGCUGGCGGUGGAUCUGCCAAGGCUCUGGCAAAACUUGCAAAGGAAUUAGUGCUCUCAGGGCCAUAAAGUAGAGGCACCUUUCUAUUUUUACUUCAUAGCAAAGCAGACUUCUCUGGACGUGAUAUGGUGCUAAUUCACUCUUACAAUCAAGGGUUGCAACUAAUUCAUCCUUUUGCUUAAUCACAGCGAUCAGAGGUGGAAGAAAGCAAUACAUGAGUGUUCCAGCUGCUUUGCACAUCCACCAGUACUUGGUAGUGUCAGUUUUUGUAAAUUAUAACCAUUCUAAAAGGUCCAUUAGAUAUAAGGACUGGCUAUAUUAACAUAUCAGAAAUUGUGAUUCCCUAGCAAGAAUUUACAAAUGAUUUCCUACAUUUUGAUACCUAAUGCAACCAUUACGGCUAAAAUUUAUAAAGGCAAAGGAGCUUUGAAUUUGUGAUGAUAAAACUUGAAAAAGAAUUUGUAAUCUGCCACAUUCUACUGCUCGAAACUCCCAGAGAAACCACGUAGCACAUCUGACUUAUCCUCCAACAAGGACUGCCCUCUGAUGUGUCUGAAAGAAAGGUGACAAUCAUAUUCAGACUCUUCAUGGACUGGCCCUCUAUUUGGACAACUGCAUAAUAUCUAGAUCUUUGAUACCCUGUCUGGGGACAAAAUUUUGUCAGCUGUGCAGGAACCAGGUUAUCCUGGAAUACAGUGAAAUAAACCAUAAAACAGUUCUUUUUGUUUGUCAGGCAGAGCAAAAUGGCAUUGCUUCCUUUAAAUCUGGUUUGUUUUCCUUUUCUCUUACCUAACCAGCUCUUCAACCUGGCUCUCCAACCUGGGGCUGGAACUGAUUGGAACUUUAAAAUGCUUUGUUACCGUCUGUUCUUUUUUCAGUAAGCACAAUGGUUUACUCCCUUUUGAGGCAGGGUCCCGUGUAAUGAGUCGAUGCUUCUGUUAACUCUAAGAACCCUUAAUUAUUUCCACCAUUUUCUCCAUGUGUUUCCUUCGCUGACUGUGUGAAUCACAGGCAGGCUGCUGGUUGUCAGAGACUGAAAAAGUCACUGGCCUUCCUUGGCAAGGAACUGAAUUCUGCAGCGUCUGUAUUCAUGGACAGAGUAUCCUGUCUCAGAGUUUGUGCAGCACCUUCUGUUUUUAGUUUACUGGUGAUCGGGGCACAUCACAAGAACUUGGAGUGCAGCUAAAGCCAAAUCAGACUUGACAGAAAAUUAUUAGCAGGGUACAGAAGGAAAAAAGAUCCCCCUUCCUCUCUGUAAUCAGGUUAAUAUGUGCAUGGAAUGUUUCACUUAAAAAGGUAGUGUGUUUUGGCAAAGCUGGUUUCUUAAGUAGAAUUUCAGUUCCCAUUAUGCGAGGCUAUCCAUUGCUGCUCUGGCAGAGCCUUUGAUCAGUGAACUCAGUGGGGGAGAAGGGCAUAGGCAUAUUAAUAACUUCAACAUGUGGCCCUUCGGCCCAGCUGUACCCUAGUCUUGGAAAAAGGCCAACUGGAAAGGGUUUUCUUAACACCACCUAUGCAUGCAUAUUUUGGAAAGGGGUAAAAGGAAGAUAGGGGUUCAAAGGAGGAAAUAAAAUCUGGUUUUAUGGUAGUUAUUUCUCUUGUCCCUGUUCCCUAUUUGGAGCAUUCUGCUACUACAUAUUUGGAUCCUAUGCACUCAGGCUCCAUCCUCAACUUUUACUAUCUUUGUUCCUUCUGCUGUAAUGUUAUAAAGAUUAAAGCUACUGGUUUAAUUUACAUACCAGCUCAGGACAAGGUUAGGGAGAGGCAGAAGGCUCCAUAAGAGUCUAUAGGGAUGAGAGAUUAAUGGGAACCAGGUGCCUGAAAUAGGAGCCCAGGGUCCAUUUUGCCAGGACUGUAUCUUUUGCCCUUUACCCCCUGCAUAGGUAUUUUUGACUGUUUUAUUUUAACAAUCAUAGGCUUUAGGCCUCAUGAAAUUACUGCCACAGACUAGAGCCCAGCCUGCCCUUUUAGUGUGUGUUUCCUUGUAUUAUUUCAUACCAUCCUCCUUUCAUUUUCUUCUUCUGGGUUGUUCAUUUGCCGUGUCUCCCUGUGAAAAGUUUCCCAAGUGACUCUACAUCAUAGCCAUGGAAAGCAGACUUAGCUCAGCAAAAGUGGCUUUUCAACAAUGACCUCAGUAGACAUUUGUUCUCUCUCUCUCCUCCUCUUCCUCCUUCAAUUUUAUGAUAUUGUUAUCAUUUCCUUGAUUCAAAUCUUCUAUGCUU